rnacentral:rRNA from 1 species
UACGGAGGAUGCCAAGCGUUAUCCGGAUUUAUUGGGUUUAAAGGGUGCGUAGGCGGCCUGUUAAGGUCAGGGGUGAAAGACGGUAAGCUCAACUAUCGCAGUGCCCUUGAUACUGAUGGGCUUGAAUGUACUAGAAGGCAGGCGGAAUGUGACAAGUAGCGGUGAAAUGCAUAGAUAUGUCACAGAACACCAAUUGCGAAGGCAGCUUACUAGUGUAUGAUUGACGCUGAGGCACGAAAGCGUGGGGAUCGAACAGG